rnacentral:tRNA from 1 species
AGCGGCCGAUGUCGGGGUACAGCACGACGCCGUUGUUGACGGCGGCGGAGUUCGCGCACCUGUUCGAGAUGCGUCUGCUGUUG